AGAAAACAAAAAUUAUACAUCCAAGUCAACGAUUGGAUUCGCAGACUUAACUAUUGGUACAAGAGAGGCGGAAGUGACGCAGCUGAGGGUCGAGGAUAAGCAAAUGAUGGCGUAGCUGAGGGCCCAGGGCGAUGAGAUGAAGACCUGUGUCGGGAGGGUGCAAGAACUUGUACAAGCCAUACAGAUGUCGAGCCUCCAAAUCUCGCUACCAGCACCUCAUCUUACUCCACCUUCGACCUUAAAGCCACCUUGCCCUGCCGAUACCCAGUAGCCUGAUGUAUUAAACUUAGUCCACUUGUAGUUUUUUCUUUUUGUUUGGACAUCUUGUAUGUACAUUUUCAUAUAUUUUAUAAUUAAAUAUUUUUGCUUGGUUAAUUAAUUAUUCUUUAGAAUUUAA